rnacentral:rRNA from 1 species
UACGGAGGGGGCUAGCGUUGUUCGGAAUUAUUGGGCGUAAAGGGCGCGUAGGCGGCUUGGCAAGUGGAAGGUGAAAUCCCUCGGCUUAACCGAGGAACUGCCCUCCAAACUGCUUCGCUUGAGACCGGGAGAGGUGAGUGGAAUUCCCAGUGUAGCGGUGAAAUGCGUAGAUAUUGGGAGGAACACCAGUGGCGAAGGCGGCUCACUGGACCGGAACUGACGCUGAUGCGCGAAAGCGUGGGGAGCAAACGGG